rnacentral:rRNA from 1 species
UACGUAGGGGGCAAGCGUUGUCCGGAUUUAUUGGGCGUAAAGAGCUCGUAGGCGGCUCGGUAAGUCGGGUGUGAAACCUCCAGGCUCAACCUGGAGACGCCACCUGAUACUGCUGUGGCUAGAGUCCGGUAGGGGAGUGUGGAACUCCUGGUGUAGCGGUGAAAUGCGCAGAUAUCAGGAAGAACACCAGCGGCGAAGGCGGCACUCUGGGCCGGAACUGACGCUGAGGAGCGAAAGCGUGGGUAGCAAACAGG